rnacentral:rRNA from 1 species
GAGGAAUAUUGGUCAAUGGGCGAGAGCCUGAACCAGCCAAGUCGCGUGAAGGAAGACUGCCUUAUGGGUUGUAAAUUUCUUUUAUACAGGAAUAAAAAGGGGCACGUGUGCCUUAUUGCAUGUACUGUAUGAAUAAGCAUCGGCUAACUCCGUGCCAGCAGCCGCGGUAAUACGGAGGAUGCGAGCGUUAUCCGGAUUUAUUGGGUUUAAAGGGUGCGCAGGCGGGAAUUUAAGUCAGCGGUGAAAUCUGGUCGCUUAACGAUCACACUGCCGUUGAAACUGGGUUUCUUGAGUAUGGAUGAAGUAGGCGGAAUUCGUUGUGUAGCGGUGACAUGCAUAGAUAUAACGAGGAACUCCGAUUGCGUAGGCAGCUUACUAAGCCAUAACUGACGCUCAAGCACGAAAGCGUGGGGAUCAAAC